AAAAUUUCAUCAAUUUUAAACUUUUCAAACAUAUAUAAUUUGUCCCUUAAAAGGGCCUACGAGUCCCAAAACAAUCAUUGAAAUUGGUUCGGGAACAAACCGCAAUCUUUCAGACACUUAGAAAUAGGUUUACAUAACUUUAACCAUUAUGAGCCAAAUCUUAUGGCUAUAUACAAUGAAGCAAAAAUGAGCCUAUACAUUUGGCUAAAUCAUAAUAUUAUUUAAUAUCAAUAACUAAUUAUCUAUACAUGCCACUUAUUUGACAAUAAAUAAGAAUUACCAUUAUUCUAAUUUGAUAAACUAAUAGUGUGAUGAUACUUCCGACGAUCUCCAAACCCGAGCCAACCUGACAACACUAAGAGAAAUGGGAAAAUGGUGUAAGCUUAAAAGCUUAGUAAGUUGGCAUAUUAAUAAUAAUAAGCAAUUUAAUUAACAAAUAAUAAUAAGCAAUUUAAUUAACAAUAUUAUCCCACUUCUCAAUAAAUAUGCUCAAAAAAAUAGAAUCAUUAAUUACAUGAUUUCAUCUUUUUACACAAGAUCAGCUAAGGCUGUUUUCCUGAAUCAUGGUCACUAAUUUAAUUAUUUCUUAAGCUACAGAACUCAAAAUCAAGUUUCAUAAAUUUUCCUUGAAACUAGACUUAUAUAAAUUUUUACCAUAAAAUUUUUAGAAUUUUUGGUUUUUCCAAUUAAUACCAGAUUUUUCUUAAAAUUUCCUCUAUUUCACUGUCUGACAAUUCUGACCUCUCUAUAUAAAAACUCAGUUAUCUCAUUGUACAUAAUUCAAAUAAUGUUUUUGAUUAUUCCAAUAAAAAAUAGACUCAUUAAGGUUUCUAAGCAUAUAAACCAUGCCCCAUAAUUAUUUUACCAAGUCAGAACAGGGGAUCACGUAAUCAUUCUGAAUCAGUCUCAUAAAAAUAUAAAUAUCUCAAAAUAUAGAAUUCCUUUGCUUGCUCUAUUUCUUUUAUAUGAAAAUAGACUCAUUAAGAUUUAAUUUCAUAUCUUAUUUAGCCUCUAAUUAAAUUCCUACUAUUUUUGGUGAUUUUUCAAAGUCACAUCACUGCCACUGUCCAAAACAGUUUUAUUGCUAAUUCACUCUUUCACACUUUCUUUGUAUUAACCUCAUUUUAACAUACAUAUCACAAAUCAUUUUCACCACAUUUCAUACAUCACAAGUAUAGGCCCAUCAUUACAAGGUCACCAUAAAAUCAUCCUCAUGUAUAACUUACUUGUUUAUAACCUUACCACAUCCCGGUCACUUAAUGAACACAUCAUUCACAUAACCAAGUUCCUGCACUUAUUCAUCACAAAACUCACAAAGCAGUACAUAGUAAGUCUCCCGUUGAACACUUCGGAUCAAUCCUCGAUACUUGGUGGUUUCAGCACAUAGCCCCACCCAUCAUAUAGUUCGGCUCUCUUGUACACAUGGUGAACACUUAGUACCACCCAUGUGACCUAGCCAGUUUAUCUCGUAGCUCUCUUGUCUACAUGGUGUCCUUCACCUGGAACCACACAUGCGACCUAGCUAUAUAUAUCUCGUAGCUCUCUUGUCUACAUGGUGUACACAUAGUAUCACCCAUGCGACCUAGCUACAUCAUAAUGUCUCAUAGCACUCUUGUACACAUGAUGUGUACUCAGCACCAUACAUGUGACCUAGCUACAUAUCAUCUGUAUCAUCCAAUCUUUCCAAAGGUUCAACCAGGAUUUCUCUCUCUUUUCCAACAAUUUCACCAAUCAAGUAAUUAUCAACAAACAUAUUUCCAAUAUUAUUAUAAAAUAUCAUAAUACAAGUAAAAUUGAUGUAUUACUUACAUAUAACCUUACAUCUCAUUUAAUAUCAAGACAAUAGCAUUAAAUUACACAUUGCAUUAUUAAAAAUCAUAUGAACUUACAAUUGCUCAUAACAUCCAUAAUCAUAGAAAUCACAUUUAUGUAUGAUAAUUCAAUGCACUUCAUGUACCAUAGACAUAUUUUUAAAUCAAUUCAUAAACUUGGCACCAUAUCCUCUAAUUUAACAUAAUUCAAUUAAUUGACUAAAUUUAACUUUCAAAUAUAAAUUACAACAUUAUUGCAGUAUUAUUAUCAUACCAACUUACCUCAAAUGCCGAAACGACUAACUUUCCUGACUUAGCACACAACUUUGUUCUUCAAAAUCUUAAUCCAAAAUUUCAUGUUUUCUUGAUCUAACAUGUCAAAUAACACUUAUUUAACACAUUUUAUCAGCACACUAACCAAUUCAAUUCAUAUAUCAAAUUUUAGAAAAUUUACAAUUAUGCCCCCUAACUUUUCAAAAAUUACACUUUUACCCCUAAGCUCGUAAAGUAAUUUUUAUUCAAUUUCUAUAAAGUUUAAGACAUGCUGAACAUUUUUAUCUUCUAUGACAACUCCAAAUUUUCACUGAUUCACACACUUAUGAUCAAUUAUAACUUUUACAAUUUAACCCCUUUUGACAUUUUUACCGAAAUUCAUCGAAUAAAACUCGUAUUUAACACAUCAAACAUUCAUUAUCUACUAUAAAUCCUAAAAACACAACCAUAUCAUGAAUGGGUAAAUUUUUAAACUCUAAUUUCUCUUCAAUCAAUUGGUAGAAAUAGAAAAUUUAAGCUUCAGGAAUCUCAAAAAUACGAAAUCAUUAAAAACGGGACAAAAACCGUACCUAUAUAAGCCAUGGCAGCUUGGCCGAAUGGAGCUCAUCCAUGGCUGCCAUUUUUAGUUCUUUUCCACGGUUGAAGAAGAAAGAAUAAAAAAAAUAUGAUAGCUUUUAUCAUUUUUGUCUUAUUAGGUCAUUUUAAUGAAUUUACAAAAUUACCCUUUUUAUUUCAACCAAAUUUCAAAAAUACCAAACAAAUAUCCAUCCACUAACUUAUUAAAGGACUAAUUAUCACAUAAGGACUUUCAAUUUAAAACUCAUAACAAUUAGGC
rnacentral:lncRNA from 1 species